CGACUACAUGGGAGUGCAGCGACAUAGUCAUUACGCUAACUGCUGGUCCCACUCAACCCAAUUUCUAUCUUUCUGAUUCUCUGACAGACCUGGGACGCUGCUCUUCCCCGCCCCCCCCGGAUUUAAACAAAACAAUGCUGUUAGUUUAUAUGCUCAUCCAGACCUGAACUGCAGUCCCAGUCUGCCUUGUCCUCACUGUGUGGCGACAGGAUGCAAACAGGAAGUGUGGGUGAAGCUUCUAACUUGGCCCCGUCGCAUAGUAGGCUAGUCCCUUAUCAUGGUUACUGACAGCCUGGAUCCCUUCCAGCACUGCCACUUCCCAGCUGUGAAGCCGUGGGCAGACUAACCCCUCUCCACGAUGUGCCUGCCAGAGAGUGACAGCAUCAGGACCUACCCGAGGACCACUGAGCGAGUUCAGGGCCUUCAGAAGCAUACAGCACUUAGGGUGGUGCCCGGGCCCCACCCCAUGCCUUCCAGUAACCCCUGUCAUUCCUCCUGAAACAAAUUUACAGUAGACACAGCACUCCGGUGCUCGAUUUUGCUCAUUGAACAAUAUAUCCUGAAGACCAGCCUGUCACAUACUGAAGAGCUUCCACCUCCCUUCUGAGGGAUAAUUAGCAUUCUACAGAGAUGUGGCAUAAUCAUCCCACCAGCUCCCUACUCACGGACACCAAGCGCAGAGACCUAAAUCUCUCUUAAAAAAAAAAAAAGAAGAAGAAGGGCUGGUCUCUUACCUGCCGGAUUAUUAUCAGUGCACAGAGACGAUGUAAGAGGCGAAGGAAAUCUCAGAAAUGAGUCUGAAGUCUGCAGAGGAACCCCAUACUGCAAACACAACCAGUGGCUGUUACGGAAAUAAACAAACUUCAAAAUAAAGUUUCACACAGGAAAACCCCAUCAUAUCUACCAAAAGGAUUCACCUAUCAAGUAUCAAUUGC